GCUGGCAUAGCACAGUCGGUAGUGCGCCACAUUGGUAGUGUGGAGGUCACCAGUUCGAUUCUGGUUGCCAGCU
rnacentral:tRNA from 1 species